GUGGGGAGCGAACAGGAUUAGAUACCCUGGUAGUCCACGCCGUAAACGAUGAGUGCUAAGUGUUAGGGGGUUUCCGCCCCUUAGUGCUGCAGCUAACGCAUUAAGCACUCCGCCUGGGGAGUACGGUCGCAAGACUGAAACUCAAAGGAAUUGACGGGGGCCCGCACAAGCGGUGGAGCAUGUGGUUUAAUUUGAAGCAACGCGAAGAACCUUACCAGGUCUUGACAUCCUCUGACAAUCCUAGAGAUAGGACGUCCCCUUCGGGGGCAGAGUGACAGGUGGUGCAUGGUUGUCGUCAGCUCGUGUCGUGAGAUGUUGGGUUAAGUCCCGCAACGAGCGCAACCCUUGAUCUUAGUUGCCAGCAUUCAGUUGGGCACUCUAAGGUGACUGCCGGUGACAAACCGGAGGAAGGUGGGGAUGACGUCAAAUCAUCAUGCCCCUUAUGACCUGGGCUACACACGUGCUACAAUGGACAGAACAAAGGGCAGCGAAACCGCGAGGUUAAGCCAAUCCCACAAAUCUGUUCUCAGUUCGGAUCGCAGUCUGCAACUCGACUGCGUGAAGCUGGAAUCGCUAGUAAUCGCGGAUCAGCAUGCCGCGGUGAAUACGUUCCCGGGCCUUGUACACACCGCCCGUCACACCACGAGAGUUUGUAACACCCGAAGUCGGUGAGGUAACCUUUUAGGAGCCAGCCGCCGAAGGUGGGACAGAUGAUUGGGGGAAGUCGAA
rnacentral:rRNA from 1 species